UGUCUAUGACUACGAUUUUAUAAACAUACGUCUACUCUAUUAUACUCAAGAUAUUUUACAUCUAAUAGAUUAGAUAAUUAUACUCCUUAAACUAUUGAAAUCUACAUUACACUCAAGAUCUAGCACAAUGUUGUCUUAUAAUCAAAUAUUUCAGCUGGUCAAUAUCCUUGACAUCGUGAUGACCAUUUUAAAAGCAGUGUAUGUAUGUGCACAGUCACAGUGGUAAUCUGUUCUGUCCAAAAUGGCUCCAACAUGACGACAGCUCACAAAGAUGUACUCAUUAAACUUCUGUUGACUGUCAAGAAAUGUAUAACAAUAAAAAAAAAUUGGGCAUGAAACUAAAAACCAAAUGUCAGAACCGAAACAGAUUCAAGCAACAAGUGUUAGAGGCUUCUGACAAAACACAACAAGAACAAAAUAGCAUGUAUCUCAAGUGUUGAGCUCUCAAGGAAACUUAGAUAUGUAGUAUUGUAAUAUCAAGUUGUACUACUAAUAAAGAUUUCAAAAAUUGAAUAAAAACUGAGUUCAUCUGACCGAAAA